GCCUGGGUGGCUCAGUCGGUUGAGCAUCUGACUUCGGCUCAGGUCAUGAUCUCACAGUCUGUGAGUUCGAGCCCCACAUCAGGCU
rnacentral:tRNA from 1 species